GGAUGUAGCUCAGCUGGUUAGAGUACCGGAUUGUGGUUCCGAGGGUCGAGGGUUCGAAUCCCUUCUUC
rnacentral:tRNA from 1 species